AGCUUUGUGCAGUGGCAGUAUCGUAGCCAAUGAGGUUUAUCCGAAGUGCGAUUAUUGCUAAGUAUAAAAAAAAAAAAAAAAAAAGAAGGAAUGACUAGAUUUAUCGAAUACUCUUAAAACGUGGCACAACCUUACAGUU